UACGGAGGAUGCGAGCGUUAUCCGGAUUCAUUGGGUUUAAAGGGUGCGUAGGCGGACUCGUAAGUCCGAGGUGAAAGACCGGGGCCCAACCCCGGGGUUGCCUCGGAUACUGCGGAUCUGGAGUGGACGUGCCGCCGGGGGAAUGAGUGGUGUAGCGGAGAAAUGCAUAGAUAUCACUCAGAACACCGAUUGCGAAGGCACCUGGCGAAUGUCUUACUGACGCUGAGGCACGAAAGCGUGGGGAUCGAAC
rnacentral:rRNA from 1 species